GACGAACGCUGGCGGCGUGCUUAACACAUGCAAGUCGAGCGGUAAGGCCCUUUCGGGGGUACACGAGCGGCGAACGGGUGAGUAACACGUGGGUGAUCUGCCCUGCACUUCGGGCUACGCCUGGGAAACUGGGUCUAAUACCGGAUAUGACCACUGAUCGAAUGGUUGGUGGUGGAAAGGUUUACUGGUGCAGGAGGGGCCCGCGGCCUAUCAGCUUGUUGGUGGGGUAAUGGCCUACCAAGGCGACGACGGGUAGCCGACCUGAGAGGGUGACCGGCCACACUGGGACUGAGACACGGCCCAGACUCCUACGGGAGGCAGCAGUGGGGGAUAUUGCACAAUGGGCGAAAGCCUGAUGCAGCGACGCCGCGUGAGGGAUGACGGCCUUCGGGUUGUAAACCUCUUUCAGCAGGGACGAAGCGCAAGUGACGGUACCUGCAGAAGAAGCACCGGCCAACUACGUGCCAGCAGCCGCAGUAA
rnacentral:rRNA from 1 species